UACAGCACAUUUGUAUGUGUUUUGUCUGGAGUGGCCAUGCUGAAUCUGUUCAUCUGUGGUAUUGAACACUUGUGUUUGUGUGUUGUCAGCUGGGCAGAAAGUGCCCACGUCAAUAACAGUGACCCUUCGUGGUGGCCCACCCACUUUAGUGGGUGUUAACCAGUCUAGUGAUGAUGUAAUGCCAACUGGUGCCACUGAAACCAAGCCAUAGGUGACAUGCCCAAUACAGCAUUGGAUGUUUACUGACAAAGGUUAAUUGCAGAGGGCCUCUACAUUUCUGACCUUUUGAAAGCAUCACAACGUGAGCCACAAAUGCAAAAAGGGCUGUAACGUAGAUAAGUUUGAUGAAAAUGGCACAUUCACCUGCUUAUUGCUUGGACUGUCUUCUAUUCAAAAACUAAAAUGUGUUACAGCUGGACUUGAAUCCUGGUAUGUCUUUUCUAACUUCAUGACAUUGGCGCUUAAGAUAUCACAAACUUUCACAUGUGGUUACUACGUACAGCUGAGCAGAACAAUGCUUGUUUCAUUAGUGUAAUUAUGUGAAAUUGUAUCUUAAUAAAUUACAAUAUAUAACA